rnacentral:lncRNA from 1 species
AUGACCUCCGGCCGCCCGCUGGCCCGGGGAUCUGCAGCUCUGCAGGCCCCUGGCUCAGGCCCAGGCCGGGAGGCCUCAGGGCUCUGUUCCCCGGGGAGGGGGAAGGGCUUGCCUGGGUCUCCUGGAGCAGAGCCUCGGGUUUUCCUUCUCCCCGGUGGCAGCGCAGGUGCCCCAGCGCCGCGAGGGGACUUCCCGGCGGGCUCGGGAGCACACCGUUCCACCUCCCUUUGCUUCCGCACCCGGCACGCCCCCGUCACGGGGGAGGGGCUGCGCAGCCGCAGGGCGCCCCCGCCCCCCUCAGGGCUCCCCGGGGCUCAGAGGGCGGGCGUGGGGGGUGUGCUCGGGUUGCCAGGGCGACGGCGCGGUUGCCAGUGGAGACGCUCACGCACACAUCCCCCCCGGGGCGUGGAACCUGGGGCUGCCCGGGCUGGGGGCUGCGGGGAGGUCAUGGGCUCUCUGGGUAGUCCCACUGUGUGGGGGGGAGUUCUGGAAGAAGCCCCCGAGCGACCCCUCCCCGCGCUGCCGACAGCGAUGACAGCAGGACUGGCCAGAGGAGCCCAGGCCCGUGCUGAGCAGGCGAUGUCCAAGCAACCAAACCCUCCCCCGCCAGAAACGCCAGGCAUCCGCGUGGCCCUCGCAUGGGGUGAGGGCCCCAGAACACAGGCCUUGGAGGCCCCACUGGCACGAAGCGCCCAGAACAGGCGGAGGGCUCGCGGCGGAGUCGCUGUGGAAGGCUGUGUCUCCUCAGACAUGUUCCUGGGGUUAUUAAUCUCCCCACAUCCUGGUCCAGCGUCCCAAGCCAGGUGGACAUGGAACACAGGCCCAGCUGCGUCAGAUGCUACGAUGGAGGCAUUGGCAGCGUGUUCGUGGAGCAGGAAGUGAUGCAGAAACUGUCAAGCUGGUUUUGUGCAACCAGAGCCACGAACAGGCCACAAGACAGAAGCCGUGGGACCCCGGUGGCUCUGCAUGCGAGUGAGAUGUGCUCUCCCAACACUGCUGCACCCAGAAAGAGGAGUGGUGUGUGCACGCUAACGAUGAGCCAUCUUCAUGGUUCUGUGUUUGGAGUGACAGUAAAUAACCAAGAAAGGGGCCGGCGCUGUGGCGUAGCAGGUAAAGCCUCCGUCUGCAGCGCCAGCAUCCCACAUGGGAGCAGGUUCAAGCCCCGGCUGCUCCACUUCCGAUCCAGCUCUCUGCUAACGCCCUGGGAAAGCAGUAGAAGAUGGCUAAGUCCUUGGGCCCCUGCACCUGCGUGGGAGACCCAGAGAAGCUCCUGGCUCCUAGACUUGGCCUGGCUCAACCCUAGCUGUUUCAGCCAUUUAGGAAAUCAGAGGAUGGAAGAUUCUCUCUAUUUCUCUCUCUCUCUCUCUCUCUCUCUCUCUCUCUCUCUCUCUCUCUAACUCUGCCUUUAAAAUAAAUCAAUUGUUUUUAGAGAAAAUAACA